rnacentral:misc_RNA from 1 species
AGGACUUCAAAUAUUCGUUAUGCAAUCUUGUCAUAAAUGACACCUUCAUCAUCGAAGCCCUUUCCUUCAGAAGCAAAUCAGAAAGAUCCAUUUGUCCAGAGGCACCAGCAAUUAAUAGUUUGAUUCUGUUUUCUCUGAAAUGGGUAGAACCAGUCCUUCAACCCAAAAACAUCCUCAUUGAACAUUGAGCUUUUAGGCCUUUGGCAAGGCAAAAG